rnacentral:rRNA from 1 species
CCCAGACUCCUACGGGAGGCAGCAGUGGGGAAUAUUGCGCAAUGGGGGCAACCCUGACGCAGCAACGCCGCGUGCAGGAAGAAGGUCUUCGGAUUGUAAACUGUUGUCGCAGGGGAAGAAGACAGUGACGGUACCCUGUGAGAAAGUCACGGCUAACUACGUGCCAGCAGCCGCGGUAAUACGGAGGAUGCGAGCGUUAUCCGGAUUUAUUGGGUUUAAAGGGUGCGUAGGCGGACGCUUAAGUCAGCGGUAAAAUUGCGGGGCUCAACCUCGGCGAGCCGUUGAAACUGGGUGCCUUGAGUGGGCGAGAAGUACGCGGAAUGCGUGGUGUAGCGGUGAAAUGCAUAGAUAUCACGCAGAACUCCGAUUGCGAAGGCAGCGUACCGGCGCCCAACUGACGCUGAAGCACGAAGGCGUGGGUAUCGAACAGGAUUAGAUACCCCUGUAUC